CCUACGGGAGGCUGCAGUGGGGAAUAUUGGACAAUGGGGGCAACCCUGAUCCAGCCAUGCCGCGUGUGUGAAGAAGGCCCUCGGGUUGUAAAGCACUUUCAGUGAGGAAGAACGCCUGGUGGUUAAUACCCAUCAGGAAAGACAUCACUCACAGAAGAAGCACCGGCUAACUCCGUGCCAGCAGCCGCGGUAAUACGGAGGGUGCGAGCGUUAAUCGGAAUUACUGGGCGUAAAGCGCGCGUAGGUGGCUUGAUAAGCCGGUUGUGAAAGCCCCGGGCUCAACCUGGGAACGGCAUCCGGAACUGUCAAGCUAGAGUGCAGGAGAGGAAGGUGGAAUUCCCGGUGUAGCGGUGAAAUGCGUAGAGAUCGGGAGGAAUACCAGUGGCGAAGGCGGCCUUCUGGACUGACACUGACACUGAGGUGCGAAAGCGUGGGUAGCAAACAGGAUUAGAUACCCCAGUAGUC
rnacentral:rRNA from 1 species